rnacentral:rRNA from 1 species
UACGGGGGGGGCAAGCGUUGUUCGGAAUUACUGGGCGUAAAGGGCUCGUAGGUGGCCAACUAAGUCAGACGUGAAAUCCCUCGGCUUAACCGGGGAACUGCGUCUGAUACUGGAUGGCUUGAGGUUGGGAGAGGGAUGCGGAAUUCCAGGUGUAGCGGUGAAAUGCGUUGAUAUCAUCAGGAAUACCGGAGGCGAAGGCGGCGCACUGG